CAGGUGGUGCAUGGUUGUCGUCAGCUCGUGUCGUGAGAUGUUGGGUUAAGUCCCGCAACGAGCGCAACCCUUAAGCUUAGUUGCCAGCAUUAAGUUGGGCACUCUAAGUUGACUGCCGGUGACAAACCGGAGGAAGGUGGGGAUGACGUCAAAUCAUCAUGCCCCUUAUGAUUUGGGCUACACACGUGCUACAAUGGACAAUACAAAGGGCAGCUAAACCGUGAGGUCAUGCAAAUCCCAUAAAGUUGUUCUCAGUUCGGAUUGUAGUCUGCAACUCGACUACAUGAAGCUGGAAUCGCUAGUAAUCGUAGAUCAGCAUGCUACGGUGAAUACGUUCCCGGGUCUUGUACACACCGCCCGUCACACCACGAGAGUCUGUAACACCCGAAGCCGGUGGAGUAACCAUUUAUGGAGCUAGCCGUCGAAGGUGGGACAAAUGAUUGGGGUGAAGUCGUAACAAGGUAGCCGUAUCGGAAGGUGCGGUUGGAUCACCUC
rnacentral:rRNA from 1 species